rnacentral:lncRNA from 1 species
AAAACUCUUGCUAUUGCUACUGGAUUCAAAAUUGUGCCAAACUCUCAAUCCUUACCUCCAACCCUCGACAUGUUAAGAAGAAGAAAUAGACAGAAUGAAAAUUAAACAAGAAAUAAAGUCAAAGUCGACCAAACAUAGAUUUUUUAAUUAAACAAAACAAAAUACAUUAAGCUUGGGUAGAAUCUGAUAUAAAUAAAAUAAAAAUACAUAUGACAAAAUAAAAAACAUAACCUAAUUAUUAUUAUCAUUAUUAUUAUUAUUAUUAUUAUUAUUAUUGUCAACCGGCCAUUCAUCAACGGGCAAUAGUAAGGCCCUCCCCAGCCUUCGAAUCUCACACACCAUCCAUACUCCUAUGGCGUCUAACUCCCACUGGAGUUCAUUAACUUACCUUUUAAGUUCCCGUAAGGUGUCGUGCAGAAUCAUCAUAUCCCAAAUCAGAUCAACCAUAUCUAGAACACACAUGUAUUACCAAAAAAAAACAUAAAACACUAAAAAAAAGAAAAAAGUCUAAAUGUAAUUCAACGCAUACUACCAACUGGUACAUUUCAAAAAAAAAAAAAUUACCUCAACAAAAAAGAAAUCUACUCUUUGAAGGGAAGUGGUUGAAGAUGUAGUAUGAAUUACAAGAUACAACAAGUAAAUAAAAUGGAGUAGAAUCAAGGAGUAAGGAAGGGACAUAUUUAUAGAGGAUUGAAUUUGAAUCAAAAAGUCACAACUGUUCACCUCUAUUUUAUUAAUUACAUGCCUUAACUAAAUCAAAUUGGUUACUUUUUGAUUAAUGUGAAAAGUCAUGACUUAAUUAAAUCAAACUGGUGACUUUUUUAUUAUUGUGAAAAUUUAUGACUUUUUAGCUUUUUGAUACUAAUUAGUUCUUAAAAUUAAAUAGCCAUUUUUCUUAAUUAAAUAAUUGAAGACUUUUCACCUUUUCAAUAAUAUUUUUUUUAAUAAUAACUAUUUUUAUUGAGUUAUUGCAACAAAUGAUCUAUCUGCUGUAAUAGAUAACCUAUCUAUCACAACAGAUCAACCAUAUAUUGCAACAAUGAUCCAUCUGUGCAAUAGAUAAGCCAUCUGUUGCAACACAUAGGUUAUUUGUUGCGAUAGAUGGGCCAUCUGUUGGAAGAGAUAUUUUGAUUUCUUUUAAUAGUUGAUUUAUCAGUUGCAACAGAUGGGAAUUUGACUUAUCUGCUAUUUUGAAUGUGUUAGAAAAAAAGUCACAAUUUUUAAUAAUUAUAUCACUUAAUUAAUUUAAACUGGUGAAUUUUUGAUUAUUUAAAUUAAAUAAAUAGAUUUAAAAAUAAAAAAGGUAAAAAGUCAUGACUUUUUGCCUAUUUGAUAUUAACAUCAAUUAUUAAAAUUAAAUAAUAUUUUUUAUGAUUUAAAAUAGUGUUUGUCAUUUAUUUCCUUAUUAUUAAUUUAUGAACCAUUUUUUUAUUAAAUAAUCUAAAAGUCAUAACUUUUCACCCUUUCAACAAUCUUUUUUUAAUUAAUAACUAUUUUUAGUCAGUUUUUACAACAGAUGGACCAUCUGUUGAAACAGAUUUAUCAUCUGUUGGAAGAACAAUAACCAGUGGCAAGAAUUGUAUUGUGUUCUUCCAGCAGACCUAUUGCAACAAAUGUACCAUCUGUCGGAAGAAGAGGGUUUUGAGUUUUUUUCCAACAGAUUACCUAUUUGUUGUAAUAUAUUAGUCAUUUGUUGGUUGAACACAAUCCAAAUUGAUAAAUUGUAUUUUGUUCUUCCAGCAAAUGUCUAUCUGUUGCAACAGAUGGGUAAUCUUCUAAAAAUAUUUUUUUUGUAGUCUGUCGUAUUUAGUUUCUAUUUACCUCUUUUUAUUGAUUCACAAGAAGAUAAGAACACAUUUUAUAUGAUAAAUAUUAACAUUAACAUCCCCAACAAUUAGUUAAAAUUAUCAAAGUCCAUAACAAGCAACACCAUAAUUUUACUAUUAUAAUGAUCAUGGUGCAUUACAUACGUAGCACAUGUUUUUUUUAUAGACAUGUAGUCCUUUGGCAUUGUACACUACUUCACAAUGGGAAUUGAAGAUUAAACACUGCUUGACAUUGAUAGAAUCGAAAGAAUAAAGUGCGUGCAGAUGGAUAGAUCCACUUUCAUGCAUGGGAGUUAUGUAUUACUGAUCAGGUUAUUGUGACAACACACAUAAAGUACAAUUAUUUUAUGAAUACAGUUUUUUACCGAUUAAGCAUAGAUCCUUCAAACAAGAUGAAACAUUUUAUAGUUAAGUUUGAUUGUUGUAAACUGACAAGGCUGAAGGGUUCCAAGAAGUUGGUGUCGAUUCCCUAUAACAAUUUAAUAAUGCUUUUGCUUAUAUUUAUGCGUCAAAUUUUGAGAAGGGAUCGAUAUUUAACGGUAAUGUAGAGAUUCAAAGUGAUUGGACUGAUUUUAAUGGUGCAAUGGACUUUGAGAAGGCCUUUGAAUCCUCCGGUACAGCAAACAAGAAUGGAAAACCUAUAGAAAUUCCCCUGGUCCAAAUUUAUAUGGAUACAUUACUUGAAGAGACAAUUAUACAACAGAAUGUACUGGAGGACAAUACCUGUGUGGGAAAGGGGAGUUGUUGAAGACUAUACCAUCUUAGACCUUGUUAAAGAGAAAACACAGGGGAGCAAGCAAGGAACUUCUAGCCGAUCUGGCCAAUGAAAUUCACUUGAAAAAUGAAAAAAUUGAAUGAGCUGCAAGUAUAAAAGUGUAUCCAAAAAUUAAAAUCCAUCAGUCAUUAUUGAAAAGUAAAAUAGUAAAGUGGACUAGAGAUGGAAACUUUUCUAGGAAACUAUAACUAGUUAGAUUGGCCUGAAUGAUGACCCCAAAUCGCUGGAUUAGAACUCCAAAGAAACAACUUUGUAAGCACCGGGUAUUGGAAAAAUGUAUAGCCAGGAAUGAAACUUAAACCAUUAACUUCUGAAUUAAAAAUAAGGGAAGCCAAGACGUUAAUUUCUGAAGUCUAACUUACAUCCUAUGCUUUCUAUUUGUGGUUCUAAUCAGGUCAAUGAUAGUGGAAACAAAAAGGUCUGAAGUUGGACAGAAAUCCUAUGCCUUUUUAUUUCCACUUCCUUUGACCUGACCAGAACGACAACCAGAAGGCCUAGGAUGCUAUUUUAACUUCAGAAAUUGCCACAUUGGCUUUAUCCCUUAUUUUUACUUCAGGAGUUUUUGGUUUAAGUUUUGUUACUGAAUGUCGAUCUUUCUAACCCUCGUUUCUCACAAAGAUGCUUUAUUUGAGUUUUGUUUCUUACUUUGGAGGUGAUCGUUCAGACCAUGCUAGCUAGUCCCAUUUACCAAGAAAAGUGCACAACUCCAGUCCACUUCCCCAUUUUUAUUUUCAAUGAGUGAUGGAUUUUCAUUUUUUGAUAAACUUUUAUUUUUUAGCUCAGUCGGUUUUUUAUUUUUCAUGCCAAUUUCAUCAUCUAGAUUCGCUACAUGUUCCUUGCUACCCUGUGUUUCUUCUUUAAUAAGGUCUGAGUUGAUAUAUAGUCUUCAAUACCUCUCCUUACCCUCGUAGAUAUUCUCCCAAGUACCUUUUGUUGUAUAAUCAUUACCCUGAGCAACCCAGCCAUAUAAAUUUAGAUUAGGGAAAUAACUAUAUUAUUUCCAUUCUUGGUUGCAACAUUGCAAGGCUUUGAAGGCCUUUCAAAAGUCCAUUGAACCCUUAAAAUCAGUCCAAUCACUACUAAAUCUUUACACUGCCACCAAAAACUUUAUUCCUUCUUUAAAAUUGACAUAUAAAUAUUAGCAAAAUAAUCAUUAAAUUAUAAUAGGAUAUUGACACCACCUACUUGGUCCCUAAGCCUUAUCAGUUCGAACAUAUCAAUCUUAACUAUAAAAUGCAAUAUCUUGUUUAAUGAUUAAUGCCUAAUCGGUAAAGAAAAACAUUUACAAAAUCAAUGUACUCUAUAUGUGUUUUCACGAUAACAUGACCAGUAAUACAUAACUCCUACAUAUGAAGUUAUUCCAUCUACAAGUAGCUUAUUCCUCUGAACCCAUCUUUACUCUCGCAUUUUAUGUUGGUUGGGAAAAUGUAGAUCCACUUUUACUUUCUUUUAUUUUGGGAGACAUAUUUUAUCUAAAAAUAAGAGAAUAAAAAAUAAAACAUUACAAUUGAUGUCUGCAUACUUUAAAAAAAGGGCAACACAAAAUUAAAUAAAUACAACACAUUACAACAAACAUUUUAAUAGAUGAGUCAUUUGUUGCAAUAGAUUCCCCAUCUGUUGCAACAGGUGACCUAUCUAUUGUAAUAGGUGAUCGACAUAUUUUAACAGAUGGGUCAUCUAUUGGAUGAAAUCAAACCAGCCUACCUACUGGUUUAAUUUCUUCCAAUAGGUGUUUUGUUUGUUGCAACUGAUAGAUUAUCUGUUGGAAGAGCUAUUUUGAUUUAUUCCAACAGCUAAUUCAUUAGUUGCAAUAGAUGGGAAAUCUAUUGGAAGGCCUAUUUUAAUAUUUUUCACCAUACGUUCCACAUGUUGAAACACCAACACCACCACCAACAUCAACAACAUUAACAAUAAAGAAACAAACAAAAAAUAACAAAAACUAAUACUUUCAACAAGGAUUUUUAUGUUCUCCCAACAGAUGACUUCUUUCACAUAUUUUAAUAAAAAGAAUGAUUAAUUCAUUCAAAACUCCAAAGACACCCUUCCUUCAAUUUUCUCAAUAAAUAGGAUAUGAGCAAUGUGGAAAUAAAUAGAAACAAUAAAUGUAAAUAGAUAAUUUAAAUAGCCAAUGUUAAAAUAUGAUAUUCACAAUUUCAGUUUUCAUCAUAGAAAACAUGAUAAAUUUGAUGAAAUAGGCAAAGAAGAAUAUGAGAAGGCAAGAAUAAUAACAGAGAGUGCAAAUUUAAUAGUGAACCAUACCUUCCAUGUCAAAAGCAAAGGGAUCAAAAUACCAAUUUUAGUCGAGAAAAAAUGCAGAUUUAUUGAUAAAUAAAAGGAUCCUCAGGCAAAAGAGGAGAGAAAAAAGAAAAAAAAAAAAGAAAAGA